rnacentral:rRNA from 1 species
AGCGUACACGGUGGAUGCCCUGGCAGUCAGAGGCGAUGAAGGGCGUGCUAAUCUGCGAUAAGCGCCGGUAAGGUGAUAUGAACCGUUAUAACCGGCGAUACCCGAAUGGGGAAACCCAGUGUGAUUCGUCACACUAUCAUUAACUGAAUCCAUAGGUUAAUGAGGCGAACCGGGGGAACUGAAACAUCUAAGUACCCCGAGGAAAAGAAAUCAACCGAGAUUCCCCCAGUAGCGGCGAGCGAACGGGGAGGAGCCCAGAGCCUGAAUCAGCAUGUGUGUUAGUGGAAGCGUCUGGAAAGGCGCGCGAUACAGGGUGACAGCCCCGUACACAAAAGCGCAUGUGCUGUGAGCUCGAUGAGUAGGGCGGGACACGUGAUAUCCUGUCUGAAUAUGGGGGGACCAUCCUCCAAGGCUAAAUACUCCUGACUGACCGAUAGUGAACCAGUACCGUGAGGGAAAGGCGAAAAGAACCCCGGCGAGGGGAGUGAAAAAGAACCUGAAACCGUGUACGUACAAGCAGUGGGAGCACAGGUUUACCUGUGUGACUGCGUACCUUUUGUAUAAUGGGUCAGCGACUUAUAUUCUGUAGCAAGGUUAACCGUAUAGGGGAGCCGGAGGGAAACCGAGUCUUAAUUGGGCGUUAAGUUGCAGGGUAUAGACCCGAAACCCGGUGAUCUAGCCAUGGGCAGGUUGAAGGUUGGGUAACACUAACUGGAGGACCGAACCGACUAAUGUUGAAAAAUUAGCGGAUGACCUGUGGCUGGGGGUGAAAGGCCAAUCAAACCGGGAGAUAGCUGGUUCUCCCCGAAAGCUAUUUAGGUAGCGCCUCGUGAAUUCAUCUCCGGGGGUAGAGCACUGUUUCGGCUAGGGGGCCAUCCCGGCUUACCAACCCGAUGCAAACUGCGAAUACCGGAGAAUGUUAUCACGGGAGACACACGGCGGGUGCUAACGUCCGUCGUGAAGAGGGAAACAACCCAGACCGCCAGCUAAGGUCCCAAAGUCAUGGUUAAGUGGGAAACGAUGUGGGAAGGCCCAGACAGCCAGGAUGUUGGCUUAGAAGCAGCCAUCAUUUAAAGAAAGCGUAAUAGCUCACUGGUCGAGUCGGCCUGCGCGGAAGAUGUAACGGGGCUAAACCAUGCACCGAAGCUGCGGCAGCGAACGUAUCACCCAAGACAACUUUACGGAGUUGACGAUUGACGGAGCGAAGCGACGUCAAAGCGUUCAUUAAAGUCGAGUUGGCUUAGGGAUACGUUCGUUGGGUAGGGGAGCGUUCUGUAAGCCUGUGAAGGUGUGUCGUGAGGCAUGCUGGAGGUAUCAGAAGUGCGAAUGCUGACAUAAGUAACGAUAAAGCGGGUGAAAAGCCCGCUCGCCGGAAGACCAAGGGUUCCUGUCCAACGUUAAUCGGGGCAGGGUGAGUCGACCCCUAAGGCGAGGCCGAAAGGCGUAGUCGAUGGGAAACGGGUUAAUAUUCCCGUACUUGGUGUUACUGCGAAGGGGGGACGGAGAAGGCUAUGUUGGCCGGGCGACGGUUGUCCCGGUUUAAGCGUGUAGGUGUGUGUUCCAGGUAAAUCCGGUUCACUUUAACACUGAGGCGUGACGACGAGGCACUACGGUGCUGAAGCAACAAAUGCCCUGCUUCCAGGAAAAGCCUCUAAGCAUCAGGUAACAUCAAAUCGUACCCCAAACCGACACAGGUGGUCAGGUAGAGAAUACCAAGGCGCUUGAGAGAACUCGGGUGAAGGAACUAGGCAAAAUGGUGCCGUAACUUCGGGAGAAGGCACGCUGACACGUAGGUGAAGUGAUUUACUCAUGGAGCUGAAGUCAGUCGAAGAUACCAGCUGGCUGCAACUGUUUAUUAAAAACACAGCACUGUGCAAACACGAAAGUGGACGUAUACGGUGUGACGCCUGCCCGGUGCCGGAAGGUUAAUUGAUGGGGUCAGCGCAAGCGAAGCUCCUGAUCGAAGCCCCGGUAAACGGCGGCCGUAACUAUAACGGUCCUAAGGUAGCGAAAUUCCUUGUCGGGUAAGUUCCGACCUGCACGAAUGGCGUAAUGAUGGCCAGGCUGUCUCCACCCGAGACUCAGUGAAAUUGAACUCGCUGUGAAGAUGCAGUGUACCCGCGGCAAGACGGAAAGACCCCGUGAACCUUUACUAUAGCUUGACACUGAACAUUGAGCCUUGAUGUGUAGGAUAGGUGGGAGGCUUUGAAGUGUGGACGCCAGUCUGCAUGGAGCCGACCUUGAAAUACCACCCUUUAAUGUUUGAUGUUCUAACGUGGACCCGUAAUCCGGGUUGCGGACAGUGUCUGGUGGGUAGUUUGACUGGGGCGGUCUCCUCCUAAAGAGUAACGGAGGAGCACGAAGGUUGGCUAAUCCUGGUCGGACAUCAGGAGGUUAGUGCAAUGGCAUAAGCCAGCUUGACUGCGAGCGUGACGGCGCGAGCAGGUGCGAAAGCAGGUCAUAGUGAUCCGGUGGUUCUGAAUGGAAGGGCCAUCGCUCAACGGAUAAAAGGUACUCCGGGGAUAACAGGCUGAUACCGCCCAAGAGUUCAUAUCGACGGCGGUGUUUGGCACCUCGAUGUCGGCUCAUCACAUCCUGGGGCUGAAGUAGGUCCCAAGGGUAUGGCUGUUCGCCAUUUAAAGUGGUACGCGAGCUGGGUUUAGAACGUCGUGAGACAGUUCGGUCCCUAUCUGCCGUGGGCGCUGGAGAACUGAGGGGGGCUGCUCCUAGUACGAGAGGACCGGAGUGGACGCAUCACUGGUGUUCGGGUUGUCAUGCCAAUGGCACUGCCCGGUAGCUAAAUGCGGAAGAGAUAAGUGCUGAAAGCAUCUAAGCACGAAACUUGCCCCGAGAUGAGUUCU